AGUGAGCGCGUGAUCUCACUCUGUCAUAGAGGGGCGCUCGAGAGUGAUUUACAUUUGAGUGAGUGGCGAACUGGUGAGUAACACGUGGGAAACCUGCCCAGAAGCGGGGGAUAACACCUGGAAACAGAUGCUAAUACCGCAUAACAACUUGGACCGCAUGGUCCGAGCUUGAAAGAUGGCUUCGGCUAUCACUUUUGGAUGGUCCCGCGGCGUAUUAGCUAGAUGGUGGGGUAACGGCUCACCAUGGCAAUGAUACGUAGCCGACCUGAGAGGGUAAUCGGCCACAUUGGGACUGAGACACGGCCCAAACUCCUACGGGAGGCAGCAGUAGGGAAUCUUCCACAAUGGACGAAAGUCUGAUGGAGCAACGCCGCGUGAGUGAAGAAGGGUUUCGGCUCGUAAAACUCUGUUGUUAAAGAAGAACAUAUCUGAGAGUAACUGUUCAGGUAUUGACGGUAUUUAACCAGAAAGCCACGGCUAACUACGUGCCAGCAGCCGCGGUAAUACGUAGGUGGCAAGCGUUGUCCGGAUUUAUUGGGCGUAAAGCGAGCGCAGGCGGUUUUUUAAGUCUGAUGUGAAAAGGCCCUUCCGGCUCCAACCCGAAAGAAAGUGCAUCSGRAWCUGGGGAAAACUUGAGUGCAGARGAGGACAGUGGAACUCCAUGUGUAGCGGUGAAAUGCGUAGAUAUAUGGAAGAACACCAGUGGCGAAGGCGGCUGUCUGGUCUGUAACUGACGCUGAGGCUCGAAAGUAUGGGUAGCAAACAGGAUUAGAUACCCUGGUAGUCCAUACCGUAAACGAUGAAUGCUAAGUGUUGGAGGGUUUCCGCCCUUCAGUGCUGCAGCUAACGCAUUAAGCAUUCCGCCUGGGGAGUACGGCCGCAAGGCUGAAACUCAAAGGAAUUGACGGGGGCCCGCACAAGCGGKGGARCAUGUGGUUUAAUUCGAAGCUACGCGAAGAACCUUACCAGGUCUUGACAUACUAUGCAAAUCUAAGAGAUUAGACGUUCCCUUCGGGGACAUGGAUACAGGUGGUGCAUGGUUGUCGUCAGCUCGUGUCGUGAGAUGUUGGGUUAAGUCCCGCAACGAGCGCAACCCUUAUUAUCAGUUGCCAGCAUUAAGUUGGGCACUCUGGUGAGACUGCCGGUGACAAACCGGAGGAAGGUGGGGAUGACGUCAAAUCAUCAUGCCCCUUAUGACCUGGGCUACACACGUGCUACAAUGGAUGGUACAACGAGUUGCGAACUCGCGAGAGUAAGCUAAUCUCUUAAAGCCAUUCUCAGUUCGGAUUGUAGGCUGCAACUCGCCUACAUGAAGUCGGAAUCGAUAGUAAUCGCGGAUCAGCAUGUCGCGGUGAAUACGUUCCCGGGCCGGUACACACUCUCUAUAUAUGUCAUCACAGUAUCCCCAGAGAAAGUCGGGGGGCUCUAUAUGUUGUCACAGGGUCACCUAGAGG
rnacentral:rRNA from 1 species